GUGGGACUGGUCAAGGUCCUCCUAAUGUGGGACUGGUCAAGGUCCUCCUAAUGCGGGACUGGUCAAGGUCCUCCUAAUGCGGGACUGGUCACGGUCCUCCUAAUGCGGGACUGGUCACGGUCCUCCUAAUGCGGGACUGGUCAAGGUCCUCCUAAUGCGGGACUGGUCAAGGUCCUCCUAAUGCGGGACUGGUCAAGGUCCUCCUAAUGCGGGACUGGUCAAAGUCCUCCUAAUGCGGGACUGGUCAAAGUCCUCCUAAUGCGGGACUGGUCAAGGUCCUCCUAAUGCGGGACUGGUCAAGGUCCUCCUAAUGCGGGACUGGUCAAGGUCCUCCUAAUGCGGGACUGGUCAAGGUCCUCCUAAUGCGGGACUGGUCAAGGUCCUCCUAAUGCGGGACUGGUCAAGGUCCUCCUAAUGCGGGACUGGUCAAGGUCCUCCUAAUGCGGGACUGGUCAAGGUCCUCCUAAUGCGGGACUGGUCAAGGUCCUCCUAAUGCGGGACUGGUCAAGGUCCUCCUAAUGCGGGACUGGUCAAGGUCCUCCUAAUGCGGGACUGGUCAAGGUCCUCCUAAUGCGGGACUGGUCAAGGUCCUCCUAAUGCGGGACUGGUCAAGGUCCUCCUAAUGCGGGACUGGUCAAGGUCCUCCUAAUGCGGGACUGGUCAAGGUCCUCCUAAUGCGGGACUGGUCAAGGUCCAGUGCAUUACUUUAGUGAGCAUUUUGAAUUUAUAUUUUAUAGUGACCUUACAGUGAACCUGGCCCCGCGGCCUCAGACCCACUAGGAUGACGGUCCAUUUAAAUGAAUGUAGCCAGCCUACAGUGGGAAGGAGUUUAUGAAAACGUAAUCUCUCAUUGACAGACACUACCUAAACAUAAAGAAGCAUCUGACCAAAUUACUCAAGCUUUUAGUUCUGGGUUAACCGAGAUGAAUGAAAACGUGACCAGACAGAGGUCACAUGAAGCUGUAAUACUUGUCCCAGUCUGCAGAAAGGAAGACCAUCACACCUAGAACUAUACCGAACAAAAAUAUCAACGCAACAGUUAAGGUUUUACUGAGUUACAGUUCAUAUAAGGAAAUCCGUCAAUUGAAAUAAAUUAAAUUAGAACCUAAUCUAUGGAUUUCACAUGACUGGGCAGGGGCUCAGCUAUAGGUGGACCUUGGUGGGCCCAGCUAAUCAGAAUGAGUUUUUCCCCACAAACGGGCUUUAUUGCUUACAGAAAUACUCCUCAGUUUCAUCAGCUGUCUGGGUGGUUGGUCUCAGAUGAUCCCACAGGGUAGGAACCCAGAUGUGGAGGUCCUGGGCUGGUGUGGUUCCACGUGGUCUGUGGUUAUGAGGCCGGUUGAACGUACUGCUAAAUUCUCUAAAGUGACAUUGAGGCUGCUCAGGGUAGAGAAAUGAACAUUCAAUUCUCUGGCAACAGUUCUGGUGGACAUUCCUGCAGUCAGCAGGCCAGUUGCACGUUCCCUCAAGACAUCUGUGGCAUUGUGUUUGUGUGACAACUGCACAUUUUAGCGUGGCUUUUUAUUGUCCAUCACAAGGUGCACCUGUGUAAUGAUCAUGCUGUUUAAUCAGCUUGUUGAUAUGCCACACUUGUCAGGUGGAUGGAUUAUCCUGGCAAAGGAGAAAUGCUGACUAACAGGGAUGUAAACAAAUUUGUGCACAGAAUUUUAAUGACAGGCUUAUUUUGCAUAUGGAACAAUUCUGGGAUUUUUUUAUUUCAGCUUGUGAAACAUGGGACCAACACUUUAUAAAUUGCGUUUAUAUUUCAGUAUAUUUCCAAAUACCUUAAGUGCAUGGGAGUCGAUGUAUUUUAGUUUUUUCAAAUAUUUAUGUAUUUCCAAAGGCACAGAAAUAUUCAGCCACUGAAUGCCUACUUUGAAUGUAACAGAUAUUUGUACCCUGGUCUGAAAUGGUGUGAUGAGUAUCACUAUGACGACAGCAUUGAGGCUGUUCAUUUGUUUUGCUCAUCUCUUGUUCU